GCAGUCGAACGGUAGCACAGGAGAGCUUGCUCUUUGGGUGACGAGUGGCGGACGGGUGAGUAAUGUCUGGGAAACUGCCCGAUGGAGGGGGAUAACUACUGGAAACGGUAGCUAAUACCGCAUAACGUCUACGGACCAAAGUGGGGGACCUUCGGGCCUCACACCAUCGGAUGUGCCCAGAUGGGAUUAGCUUGUUGGUGAGGUAAUGGCUCACCAAGGCGACGAUCCCUAGCUGGUCUGAGAGGAUGACCAGCCACACUGGAACUGAGACACGGUCCAGACUCCUACGGGAGGCAGCAGUGGGGAAUAUUGCACAAUGGGCGCAAGCCUGAUGCAGCCAUGCCGCGUGUAUGAAGAAGGCCUUCGGGUUGUAAAGUACUUUCAGCGGGGAGGAAGGGAGUGAGGUUAAUAACCUCGCUCAUUGACGUUACCCGCAGAAGAAGCACCGGCUAACUCCGUGCCAGCAGCCGCGGUAAUACGGAGGGUGCAAGCGUUAAUCGGAAUUACUGGGCGUAAAGCGCACGCAGGCGGUCU
rnacentral:rRNA from 1 species